AGUGAACGCUGGCGGUAGGCCUAACACAUGCAAGUCGAACGGCAGCACAGUAAGAGCUUGCUCUUACGGGUGGCGAGUGGCGGACGGGUGAGGAAUACAUCGGAAUCUACUUUUCGUGGGGGAUAACGUAGGGAAACUUACGCUAAUACCGCAUACGACCUACGGGUGGAAGCAGGGGAUCUUCGGACCUUGCGCGAUUGAAUGAGCCGAUGUCGGAUUAGCUAGUUGGCGGGGUAAAGGCCCACCAAGGCGACGACCCGUAGCUGGUCUGAGAGGAUGAUCAGCCACACUGGAACUGAGACACGGUCCAGACUCCUACGGGAGGCAGCAGUGGGGAAUAUUGGACAAUGGGCGUAAGCCUGAUCCAGCCAUACCGCGUGGGUGAAGAAGGCCUUCGGGUUGUAAAGCCCUUUUGUUGGGAAAGAAAAGCAGCAGGUUAAUACCCCGCUGUUCUGACGGUACCCAAAGAAUAAGCACCGGCUAACUUCGUG
rnacentral:rRNA from 1 species